AUGGCGACGACGGCUUUGUCGUACGUGGAAUACAUGGCGCGCUGGGAGCGGCAGGUGGAGCGGCGGCAGCUGUUCCUCCGGAGCUACCACUUCUCCCGCGACGCCGACGUCUCGCCGCGCGCGCGCACGCGCCGCGUCGUCUGGGCCGGGGCGCGACGCCUGCGCCGCGCCGCCGCCAAGGGGCUCCGUCGCCUCCGGGCGCGCAUCCGCCUCUGCUUCGGCUGGGUCGCGCCCGCGCUCCGCCGCCGCGGCUCCCCUCGCCGGGCCGGCCACGGGUUCCGCUACGGCCGCAUCCCCCGGGCCACGAAGGCCGCCAACGCGGCGUCCGUCUGCUUCUGGUAG
rnacentral:rRNA from 1 species